AAUAUUGGUCAAUGGAGGCAACUCUGAACCAGCCACGUCGCGUGAAGGAUGACGGCCCUACGGGUUGUAAACUUCUUUUAUACAGGAAUAAAGUGAGUCCCGUGGGACUUUUUGCAUUUACUGUAUGAAUAAGGAGCGGCUAACUCCGUGCCAGCAGCCGCGGUAAUAGGGAGGAUCCAAUCGUUAUCCGGAUUUAGUGGGUUUAAAGGGUGCGCAAGCGGAAGAUUAAGUCGGCGGUGAAAUUUUGCAGCUCAACUGUAAAAGUGCCAUCGAUACUGGUUUUCUUGAGUGUGGAUGAAGUAGGCGGAAUUUGUGGUGUAGCGGUGAAAUGCAUAAAUAUCACGAGGAACUCCGAUUGCGCAGGCAGCUUACUAGGCCAUAACUGACGCUCAGGCACGAAGGCGUGGGGAUCAAAC
rnacentral:rRNA from 1 species